AACAAUAUAGUUUAGAAUUUUUUUAAACCUUUUCCUUGUUUUUAAAAAAUUUUUUUUGCAAAGGACAAUGUAGAUAACAUCAGUACUGAACACGACCUUCAAUUAGGGCUUGUAGCAAUGCAAGCUCAUGUGUGAAGAAGAAAGUGCCCAGAGGCAAGGAACAUUUUGAGAGUUCAUCUGGCCCAUCCUUAUGGAUAAUACAAACCAGACUAAAAGUCCCUUGUGAAUUUUGAUGAUAAAUCAAGAAGUGAAGCAGCCCUGGACUGCGAAAGGCAUGGUGACCAUGAGAUCAUAUCUCUAAGAGAUAAAGAGCCUGGGCCAUCAUCACAAGUUUUUCCAGGAAAAUAUGUGCAUCAGAAUUGUGAAGGAGUUGUUCCCUGGAAGUGAAUACAAGGAAUACUAAGGCUUUUCUCUAUUGAAUGCAACGGUGCACUCUCCAUAUUUUUCUUCUUCAGUAAAUCACUUGGUCCUUCAGCUACUGGAAACUGACAUCAGGUAAAGAUCACCUCCUAACUCAAGAUCAUGCUUCCUCUCCAGGACCCUCCUUCAUCCAAUGACUGUAUAAUGCUGCAAUAUAAAGAACUAGCUCCCUUUUCACAAUAUGUGACAACUCUAAAGGCCAUCUCAGCUCUAGAGCCAUUCAGAAGAUGGGCUGACAUAGUUGCUGUGAUUGUCUGAUACUUUCUUCACUUUCACAGAUGUUGAUUCUAAGAGGACUCCAAUAAAAUCCUU